rfam:Hordeum vulgare subsp. vulgare, WGS project CAJW01000000 data, contig: morex_contig_138426
AUACUACUCCCUCCAUCCUAAAAUUCUUAUCUUAGCUUUAUGUAGAAAUGGUUGUAUCGAAGUACUAAAACUUGACUAGAUACAUUCACAUCUAAACAAAUUUAAGACAAGAUUUUUGGGACAGAGGGAGUAUGUU